UGGCGGGAGGAAUAAGUUACAAAUUUUUUUUAAAAUUACUUUUGUGUUAGGAAAGCACAAUAUAAAAACAAAACUUUUAAAAAAGCCAAAAUUUGAUAGUUAAUACUGAUGCUUCUAAUAUUAUAUAACAUGAUUCUUGACAUUUUUUUAAAUGCCAACUCUGCAGAUUAUAAACUCCUUCAACUUCAGAUUUUUAGUAGCAUGAGAUACAACACUUCUUCACUUCAGAAAUAACAUUUAUUUUCUGAGAAAUCAAUUAAUUUCAUGUGUUAAGAAACAUCACUGAGUUGCUGUUUGAAAAACUGUUUCAGAAUGAAAAAUUUGAGGAAUGGUUGUUCAUCAUUUAGAAUAUGGAAAGGGUGGUCAUAGAUCAUAACUGAUUGGUGCUUCGCUAAGUGAAACACUAUUUAAAGAUCAAUUUUAAUAUGAAUAAAGGGCGUUUUGAGGAAAAGAGUGGAUGCUGAAGAAAGAAGAUCUUACGUGUGACAUGUUUGUAAUCCAAAUUUUGAUUCAAGCCAUCUUUUAUAGAUAAUUGGUGGCCGGACACUUCUUUAUUGAACGUUCAUAAGGACUGGUCCAUUUACCACCGAGAACGUUACCCAGAGUGUUCACUGGGGACAGCCGAAGAGGAGGACAACACAACAGCCAAGCUUUACGCGGGAGUCGAACUCUUUAGUUUGUACAACCAGUCAGCCUUCGCUAACAACUAUGCCUUCCAGGAUGGCAUUUUUCAUUAUUUUAACCUU